rnacentral:rRNA from 1 species
UUGAACGCUGGCGGCAGGCUUAACACAUGCAAGUCGAGCGGNAACGAUNGCAGCUUGCUAUUNGCUGUCGAGCGGCGGACGGGUGAGUAAUACUUAGGAAUCUACCUAGUAGUGGGGGAUAGCACGGGGAAACUCGUAUUAAUACCGCAUACGACCUACGGGAGAAAGGGCGCAGUUUACUGCUCUCGCUAUUAGAUGAGCCUAAGUCGGAUUAGCUAGAUGGUGGGGUAAAGGCCUACCAUGGCGACGAUCUGUAGCUGGUCUGAGAGGAUGAUCAGCCACACCGGGACAGAGACACGGCCCGGACUCCUACGGGAGGCAGCAGUGGGGAAUAUUGGACAAUGGGGGAAACCCUGAUCCAGCCAUGCCGCGUGUGUGAAGAAGGCCUUUUGGUUGUAAAGCACUUUAAGGAGUGAAGAAGACUCCGUGGUUAAUACCCAUGGACGAUGACAUUAGCUGCAGAAUAAGCACCGGCUAACUCUGUGCCAGCAGCCGCGGUAAUACAGAGGGUGCAAGCGUUAAUCGGAAUUACUGGGCGUAAAGGGAGCGUAGGUGGCUCUAUAAGUCAGAUGUGAAAUCCCCGGGCUUAACCUGGGAACUGCAUCUGAAACUGUAGAGCUAGAGUAUGUGAGAGGAAGGUAGAAUUCCAGGUGUAGCGGUGAAAUGCGUAGAGAUCUGGAGGAAUACCGAUGGCGA